CAAGCGUUGAUCGGAAUCACUGGGCUUAAAGGGUGCGCAGGCGGCGCCGCAAGUACGUUGUGAAAUCCCACGGCUUAACCGUGGAACUGCUUCGUAGACUGCGGUGCUUGAGCAUGACAGGGGCUAUCGGAACUCUAGGUGGAGCGGUGGAAUGCGUAGAUAUCUAGAGGAACGCCAAACGGGAAGCCAGAUAGCUGGGUCAUUGCUGACGCUCAGGCACGAAAGCGUGGGGAGCAAACAGG
rnacentral:rRNA from 1 species